AACGAACGCUGGCGGCAUGCCUAACACAUGCAAGUCGAACGAGACCUUCGGGUCUAGUGGCGCACGGGUGCGUAACGCGUGGGAACCUGCCCUUAGGUUCGGAAUAACUCCCCGAAAGGGGUGCUAAUACCGGAUAAUGUCUUCGGACCAAAGAUUUAUCGCCUUUGGAUGGGCCCGCGUUGGAUUAGCUAGUUGGUAGGGUAAAAGCCUACCAAGGCGACGAUCCAUAGCUGGUCUGAGAGGAUGAUCAGCCACACUGGGACUGAGACACGGCCCAGACUACUACGUGAGGCAGCAGUGGGGAAUAUUGGACAAUGGGCGAAAGCCUGAUCCAGCAAUGCCGCGUGAGUGAUGAAGGCCUUAGGGUUGUAAAGCUCUUUUACCCGGGAUGAUAAUGACAGUACCGGGAGAAUAAGCUCCGGCUAACUCCGUG
rnacentral:rRNA from 1 species